UUUAUCGGAGAGUUUGAUCCUGGCUCAGGACGAACGCUGGCGGCGUGCCUAAUACAUGCAAGUCGAGCGGACAGAUGGGAGCUUGCUCCCUGAUGUUAGCGGC
rnacentral:rRNA from 8 species